rnacentral:misc_RNA from 1 species
UGGGUUUGACAUGCACAGGACUGCCCUAGAGAUAGGGUUUCCCUUGUGGCCUGUGUGCAGGUGGUGCAUGGCUGUCGUCAGCUCGUGUCGUGAGAUGUUGGGUUAAGUCCCGCAACGAGCGCAACCCUCGUUCCAUGUUGCCAGCGCGUAAUGGCGGGGACUCAUGGGAGACUGCCGGGGUCAACUCGGAGGAAGGUGGGGAUGACGUGUAACCGAAUCU